UGUGAACUCGAAGAGUAGGGCGGGACACGUGGUAUCCUGUCUGAAUAUGGGGGGACCAUCCUCCAAGGCUAAAUACUCCUGACUGACCGAUAGUGAACCAGUACCGUGAGGGAAAGGCGAAAAGAACCCCGGCGAGGGGAGUGAAAAAGAACCUGAAACCGUGUACGUACAAGCAGUGGGAGCACCUUCGGGUGUGACUGCGUACCUUUUGUAUAAUGGGUCAGCGACUUAUAUUCUGUAGCAAGGUUAACCGUAUAGGGGAGCCGCAGGGAAACCGAGUCUUAACUGGGCGUUAAGUUGCAGGGUAUAGACCCGAAACCCGGUGAUCUAGCCAUGGGCAGGUUGAAGGUUGGGUAACACUAACUGGAGGACCGAACCGACUAAUGUUGAAAAAUUAGCGGAUGACUUGUGGCUGGGGGUGAAAGGCCAAUCAAACCGGGAGAUAGCUGGUUCUCCCCGAAAGCUAUUUAGGUAGCGCCUCGUGAAUUCAUCUUCGGGGGUAGAGCACUGUUUCGGCUAGGGGGUCAUCCCGACUUACCAACCCGAUGCAAACUACGAAUACCGAAGAAUGUUAUCACGGGAGACACACGGCGGGUGCUAACGUCCGUCGUGAAGAGGGAAACAACCCAGACCGCCAGCUAAGGUCCCAAAGUCAUGGUUAAGUGGGAAACGAUGUGGGAAGGCACAGACAGCCAGGAUGUUGGCUUAGAAGCAGCCAUCAUUUAAAGAAAGCGUAAUAGCUCACUGGUCGAGUCGGCCUGCGCGGAAGAUGUAACGGGGCUAAACCAUGCACCGAAGCUGCGGCAGCGACACUAUGUGUUGUUGGGUAGGGGAGCGUUCUGUAAGCCUGCGAAGGUGACCUGUGAGGGUUGCUGGAGGUAUCAGAAGUGCGAAUGCUGACAUAAGUAACGAUAAAGCGGGUGAAAAGCCCGCUCGCCGGAAGACCAAGGGUUCCUGUCCAACGUUAAUCGGGGCAGGGUGAGUCGACCCCUAAGGCGAGGCCGAAAGGCGUAGUCGAUGGGAAACAGGUUAAUAUUCCUGUACUUGGUGUUACUGCGAAGGGGGGACGGAGAAGGCUAUGUUAGCCGGGCGACGGUUGUCCCGGUUUAAGCAUGUAGGCUGAUUGUCCAGGCAAAUCCGGAUAAUCAAGGCUGAGGUGUGAUGACGAGGCACUACGGUGCUGAAGUAACAAAUGCCCUGCUUCCAGGAAAAGCCUCUAAGCAUCAGGUAACAUCAAAUCGUACCCCAAACCGACACAGGUGGUCAGGUAGAGAAUACCAAGGCGCUUGAGAGAACUCGGGUGAAGGAACUAGGCAAAAUGGUGCCGUAACUUCGGGAGAAGGCACGCUGGUGUGUAGGUGAAGUCCCUGCGGAUGGAGCUGAGACCAGUCGAAGAUACCAGCUGGCUGCAACUGUUUAUUAAAAACACAGCACUGUGCAAACACGAAAGUGGACGUAUACGGUGUGACGCCUGCCCGGUGCCGGAAGGUUAAUUGAUGGGGUUAUCCGUAAGGAGAAGCUCUUGAUCGAAGCCCCGGUAAACGGCGGCCGUAACUAUAACGGUCCUAAGGUAGCGAAAUUCCUUGUCGGGUAAGUUCCGACCUGCACGAAUGGCGUAAUGAUGGCCAGGCUGUCUCCACCCGAGACUCAGUGAAAUUGAACUCGCUGUGAAGAUGCAGUGUACCCGCGGCAAGACGGAAAGACCCCGUGAACCUUUACUAUAGCUUGACACUGAACAUUGAGCCUUGAUGUGUAGGAUAGGUGGGAGGCUUUGAAGCGUGGACGCCAGUCUGCGUGGAGCCAACCUUGAAAUACCACCCUUUAAUGUUUGAUGUUCUAACGUUGGCCCCUGACCGGGGUUGCGGACAGUGUCUGGUGGGUAGUUUGACUGGGGCGGUCUCCUCCCAAAGCGUAACGGAGGAGCACGAAGGUUAGCUAAUCCUGGUCGGACAUCAGGAGGUUAGUGCAAUGGCAUAAGCUAGCUUGACUGCGAGCGUGACGGCGCGAGCAGGUGCGAAAGCAGGUCAUAGUGAUCCGGUGGUUCUGAAUGGAAGGGCCAUCGCUCAACGGAUAAAAGGUACUCCGGGGAUAACAGGCUGAUACCGCCCAAGAGUUCAUAUCGACGGCGGUGUUUGGCACCUCGAUGUCGGCUCAUCACAUCCUGGGGCUGAAGUAGGUCCCAAGGGUAUGGCUGUUCGCCAUUUAAAGUGGUACGCGAGCUGGGUUUAGAACGUCGUGAGACAGUUCGGUCCCUAUCUGCCGUGGGCGCUGGAGAAUUGAGGGGGGCUGCUCCUAGUACGAGAGGACCGGAGUGGACGCAUCACUGGUGUUCGGGUUGUCAUGCCAAUGGCACUGCCCGGUAGCUAAAUGCGGAAGAGAUAAGUGCUGAAAGCAUCUAAGCACGAAACUUGCCCCGAGAUGAGUUCUCCCUGAGACUUUAAGUCUCCUGAAGGAACGUUGAAGACGACGACGUUGAUAGGCCGGGUGUGUAAGCGCAGCGAUGCGUUGAGCUAACCGGUACUAAUGAACCGUGAGGCUUAACCUU
rnacentral:rRNA from 1 species